rnacentral:rRNA from 1 species
GACGAACGCUGGCGGCGUGCUUAACACAUGCAAGUCGAACGGAAAGGCCCCUUUUGGGGUACACGAGUGGCGAACAGGUGAGUAAAACGUGAGUAACCUGCGCUCUACUUCUGGAUAACUUCAGGAAACUGUGGCUAAUACCGGAUAGGAAUCCUUGCUGCAUUGUGGGGGUUGGAAAGCUUCGGCGGUUUUGGAUGGACUCGCGGCUUAUCAGCUUGUUGGUGGGGUAGUGGCUUACCAAGGCUUUGACGGGUAGCCGGCCUGAGAGGGCGACCGGCCACAUUGGGACUGAGAUACGGCCCAGACUCCUACGGGAGGCAGCAGGGGGGAAUAUUGCACAAUGGGCGGAAGCCUGAUGCAGCAACGCCGCGUGCGGGAUGACGGCCUUCGGGUUGUAACCCGUUUUCCGCAGGGGCGAGGCUUGUGGUGACGGUACCUGCAGAAGAAGCACCGGCUAACUACGUG